AAUAGAUACCCGGGUAGUCCACGCCGUAAACGAUGAGUGCUAAGUGUUAGAGGGUUUCCGCCCUCUAGUGCUGCAGCUAACGCAUUAAGCACUCCGCCUGGGGAGUACGGUCGCAAGACUGAAACUCAAAGGAAUUGACGGGGGCCCGCACAAGCGGUGGAGCAUGUGGUUUAAUUUGAAGCAACGCGAAGAACCUACCAGGUCUUGACAUCCUCUGACAACUCUAGAGAUAGAGCGUUCCCCCUUCGGGGGGACAGAGUGACAGGUGGUGCAUGGUUGUCGUCAGCUCGUGUCGUGAGAUGUUGGGUUAAGUCCCGCAACGAGCGCAACCCUUGAUCUUAGUUGCCAGCAUUUAGUUGGGCACUCUAAGGUGACUGCCGGUGACAAACCGGAGGAAGGUGGGGAUGACGUCAAAUCAUCAUGCCCCUUAUGACCUGGGCUACACACGUGCUACAAUGGAUGGUACAAAGGGCUGCAAGACCGCGAGGUCAAGCCAAUCCCCAUAAAAACCCAUUCUCAGUUCGGAUUGU
rnacentral:rRNA from 1 species